rnacentral:rRNA from 1 species
GACGAACGCUGGCGGCGUGCUUAACACAUGCAAGUCGAACGGAAAGGCCCUGCUUUUGUGGGGUGCUCGAGUGGCGAACGGGUGAGUAACACGUGAGUAACCUGCCCUUGACUUUGGGAUAACUUCAGGAAACUGGGGCUAAUACCGGAUAGGAGCUCCUGCUGCAUGGUGGGGGUUGGAAAGUUUCGGCGGUUGGGGAUGGACUCGCGGCUUAUCAGCUUGUUGGUGGGGUAGUGGCUUACCAAGGCUUUGACGGGUAGCCGGCCUGAGAGGGUGACCGGCCACAUUGGGACUACGAGAGGGCCCAGACUCCUACGGGGGGCAGCGGUGGGGAAUAUUGCACAAUGGGCGGAAGCCUGAUGCAGCGACGCCGCGUGCGGGAUGACGGCCUUCGGGUUGUAAACCGCUUUCGCCUGUGACGAAGCGUGAGUGACGGUAAUGGGUAAAGAAGCACCGGCUAACUACGUG